GCCUUACGUACCCAAAGAUGAAAAGAUGACGGUUGUGAGGCUUUAACCCUAACAGUAAGUCUUCGUUAGUGAAAUUGAUUGCGUUAUGGGCGGCACAACAUGUGGCAUAUUCAUAUGGCCGAAGCUUCAAGCCUUCGUCCUUACUUUCUUGCACUUUGUGGUCAUCGGGACUUGCCAAGACUGCUAUUAGUGAUUUUCGCAUCUCCUUGGUAACUGUAGCGCUUAUUCGAUGCUAAAGUAUGUUAUCAAGUACCAAGUGACAGGCAACGGUAAUGCAUUGUUGGAAGAAGUCUUUCAGGAAGUACUCGUGCAAUGAGACGGGAAUACGUGGCUCUUGCUCCAUAGGUUCCCCAGCGUAUGUUGGCUU
rnacentral:lncRNA from 1 species